UUAAGUUCAGCGGGUAUCCCUACCUGAUCCGAGGUCAACCUAGAAAAAUUUGGGGUUGUUGGCAAGCCUCUCCCAGGACCCUAUAGCGAGAAAAUUACUACGCGUAGAGCCUAAGAGCACCGCCACUAGUUUUAAGGCCCGCCAGACGGCGAAGCCCAACACUAGCCAGGCUAGAUUGGUAUAAAUGACGCUCGAACGAG
rnacentral:misc_RNA from 1 species